GGAAUGGAGAUUGAUUUAAUGCACCAGCUCAACUCUGAUGAUCAAUUGAAAUCAAUUAAUUUGCAAUUAACUUUGAAGUUGUUUUUAGUACUUUGCUACUCUACCUUUUGUUUUAUUGGAAAAGCUACUGAUAUUUGAGGUCUGCCACAGUACAUGUUUUUGUUUUUAUCUGCCUACUGAUGCACAGAAAGUAAAUAUGUUUCUCAUUAGCCUGGAAAGAGGCCUGUAUGUACAUGGUGCUAUAUAAAGUGGCUACCUACAAGCAACCUAAAUGUUGUUCUUUGCAGAAGGUUAAUAAAAAUAACAGCUCUGUUAAAAAUAGGGACAAGGGACCUCCUAUGGACAGCAUCAGACCUUGGAUUGGGGAGGAGCAGAUCUAUACAAAUAUACUAGUAAGCCCCCGCCCCCCAUCCCAUUCCCCCAAUUUAACUCAAUCCCCAAGUGCCAUGUA